rnacentral:rRNA from 1 species
GAUGAACGCUGGCGGCGUGCCUAAUACAUGCAAGUCGAGCGAACGGACGAGAAGCUUGCUUCUCUGAUGUUAGCGGCGGACGGGUGAGUAACACGUGGAUAACCUACCUAUAAGACUGGGAUAACUUCGGGAAACCGGAGCUAAUACCGGAUAAUAUUUUGAACCGCAUGGUUCAAAAGUGAAAGACGGUCUUGCUGUCACUUAUAGAUGGAUCCGCGCUGCAUUAGCUAGUUGGUAAGGUAACGGCUUACCAAGGCAACGAUGCAUAGCCGACCUGAGAGGGUGAUCGGCCACACUGGAACUGAGACACGGUCCAGACUCCUACGGGAGGCAGCAGUAGGGAAUCUUCCGCAAUGGGCGAAAGCCUGACGGAGCAACGCCGCGUGAGUGAUGAAGGUCUUCGGAUCGUAAAACUCUGUUAUUAGGGAAGAACAUAUGUGUAAGUAACUGUGCACAUCUUGACGGUACCUAAUCAGAAAGCCACAGCUAACUACGUA